UCACUACGGAACAACUCCGGGAAACUGGAGCUAAUACCGUAUACGUCCUUCGGGAGAAAGAUUUAUCGGUGAUGGAUGAGCCCGCGUUGGAUUAGCUAGUUGGUGGGGUAAAGGCCUACCAAGGCGACGAUCCAUAGCUGGUCUGAGAGGAUGAUCAGCCACACUGGGACUGAGACACGGCCCAGACUCCUACGGGAGGCAGCAGUGGGGAAUAUUGGACAAUGGGCGAAAGCCUGAUCCAGCCAUGCCGCGUGAGUGAUGAAGGCCCUAGGGUUGUAAAGCUCUUUCAACGGUGAAGAUAAUGACGGUAACCGUAGAAGAAGCCCCGGCUAACUUCGUGCCAGCAGCCGCGGUAAUACGAAGGGGGCUAGCGUUGUUCGGAUUUACUGGGCGUAAAGCGCACGUAGGCGGACUAUUAAGUCAGGGGUGAAAUCCCGGGGCUCAACCCCGGAACUGCCUUUGAUACUGGUAGUCUCGAGUCCGGAAGAGGUGAGUGGAAUUCCGAGUGUAGAGGUGAAAUUCGUAGAUAUUCGGAGGAACACCAGUGGCGAAGGCGGCUCACUGGUCCGGUACUGACGCUGAGGUGCGAAAGCGUGGGGAGC
rnacentral:rRNA from 1 species